AAUAUUGGCUAUAUACUUUUUAUGUGUACAUUUUUUACUCAGGUACCCUUACCAUUUUCCCUACUUCUAGCACUGGACACAUUAUCCAACAUAGACUAUAUUUCCUGUAUGUUGUUAUCACUAUUUUUUUAGUACUUUCAAGUCCAGUAAGUCUGGUAUCUGGCACAACAGCCACCUUUUUCUCUAGUUGUCACACUGUCUCUUUGCAUAUGUAAUAACUUUUAAGAAAAACGGAACAUUAAAAAUGACACAGUGUAGCACCUGUGGACAGGACUUGUUUAUUUCUUUAGUUACUUAAAGACUAUUGUGGAGAAUUCUGCUUUUCUACAGAGCUGUUCCAAGGGCCAAACCUGAGCACACACACAGGCUCCUCAGGGUUUGCCUAGCAAGGUGCUACUUCUAUUGCUCUCACUACACUGAGAAAUGCCACUAACACUAGCUGAUUGCUGUCUUGUUUGUGGGAGGAAAAUGGGAGCUAGGAAGAUGAGAGCUACCUGGCAGGCAGACAUCCCUACAAUUCCAGCUAUGGGGAAGAGAGGCCUCUGUGCCUGUUUCCCACUGCUCUGUGGACUUUGUUCCUCGGAGAGAGAGGAUAGAAGUGGUUAGGUUAAGGAGGCAGAAAUCUU